rnacentral:misc_RNA from 1 species
CGCUGAAGGAUGACGAGGUGGACCGUCUCGUCGACUUCGUGAGGAGCCUCGGAUGAUCACGUGGUGGUGCACCGCCCUCGCCCGACCCUGGACCUGGGAGUGGAUCCCCUAUCCGGGAAUCUGGGCGGCGGCGAUCGUUCCCAUGGUGGCCUACGGCCGGUCGGUACACCGACAUGAGGGUCCCACCGACUGGAAAAGGGUCGCCCAGUUCAUGACGGGUGUCAUGGUGUUUUGGAUCGCCUCCGAUUGGCCCAUAGGGACGUUGGGUG